UACGAAGGGUGCAAGCGUUACUCGGAAUUACUGGGCGUAAAGCGUGCGUAGGUGGUUCGUUAAGUCUGAUGUGAAAGCCCUGGGCUCAACCUGGGAAUGGCAUUGGAAACUGGCGACCUAGAGUGCGGUAGAGGGUAGUGGAAUUCCCGGUGUAGCAGUGAAAUGCGUAGAGAUCGGAAAGAACACCAACGGCGAAAGCACUCUGCUGGGCCGACACUGACACUGAGAGACGAAAGCUAGGGGAGCGAAUGGG
rnacentral:rRNA from 1 species